rnacentral:misc_RNA from 1 species
AGCAUGUCGACAUGAUCAGGUUUCAGGUUUGCUGCAGAGAGCUCUAUAACUGUCUUCCUCCUCAUUUUUUUCUAUCUGCAAACCCCAAUUAGUCAUUGCAGUGAGAGACCCAUCCUUCUUUUUUCCUUCCUCAACGGGAGCGAUUUUUUUCCUUUUUCUGGGGUCUCAUUACUCUAAAAGAACUUUGCUAAAUUCCAAUUAGACCUCUUCAAAAGAGAGCGUUUUACACGUCUCACUCGGAGUCCAAAAAGUUCACCUUCCUCAGAACCCUUCAAAGAAGCUAUUCCCAAUUCCCAUCAGGUCAAG